rnacentral:rRNA from 1 species
UACGUAGGGUGCGAGCGUUGUCCGGAAUUAUUGGGCGUAAAGAGCUCGUAGGCGGUUUGUCGCGUCGACUGUGAAAACCUACAGCUUAACUGUGGGCUUGCAGUCGAUACGGGCAGACUUGAGUUCGGUAGGGGAGAAUGGAAUUCCUGGUGUAGCGGUGGAAUGCGCAGAUAUCAGGAGGAACACCGAUGGCGAAGGCAGUUCUCUGGGCCGUUACUGACGCUGAGGAGCGAAAGCGUGGGGAGCGAACAGG